AUUGAACGCUGGCGGCAGGCCUAACACAUGCAAGUCGAACGGUAACAGGAAACAGCUUGCUGUUUCGCUGACGAGUGGCGGACGGGUGAGUAAUGUCUGGGAAACUGCCUGAUGGAGGGGGAUAACUACUGGAAACGGUAGCUAAUACCGCAUAACGUCGCAAGACCAAAGAGGGGGACCCUCGGGCCCCUUGCCAUCGGAUGUGCCCAGAUGGGAUUAGCUUGUUGGUGGGGUAACGGCUCACCAAGGCGACGAUCCCUAGCUGGUCUGAGAGGAUGACCAGCCACACUGGAACUGAGACACGGUCCAGACUCCUACGGGAGGCAGCAGUGGGGAAUAUUGCACAAUGGGCGCAAGCCUGAUGCAGCCAUGCCGCGUGUAUGAAGAAGGCCUUCGGGUUGUAAAGUACUUUCAGCGGGGAGGAAGGGAGUAAAGUUAAUACCUUUGCUCAUUGACGUUACCCGAAGAAGAAGCACCGGCUAACUCCGUG
rnacentral:rRNA from 1 species